GACGAACGCUGGCGGCGUGCUUAACACAUGCAAGUCGAACGGAAAGGCCCUGAUUUUGUGCGGUGCUCGAGUGGCGAACGGGGGAGUAACACGUGAGUAUCCUGCCCUUGUCAUUCGGAUAACUUCAGGAAACUCGGGCUAAUAUAGGGUAGGAGAUCCUGCUGCAUGUUGGGGGUCGGAAAGAUUCGGCGGUUGGGGAUGGACUAGCGGCUUAUGAGCUGGUUGGUGGGGUAGUGGAGUACCAAGGCUUUGACGGGUAGCCGGCCUGAGAGGGUGACCGGCGACAUGGGGACUGAGGUACGGCGCAGACUCCUACGGGAGGCAGCAGUGGGGAAUAUGGCACAAUGGGCGGAAGCCUGAUGCAGCAACGCCGCGUGCGGGAUGACGGCCUUCGGGUUGUAAACCGCUUUGGCCUGUGACGAAGCGUGAGUGACGGUAAUGGGUAAAGAAGCACCGGCUAACUACGUG
rnacentral:rRNA from 1 species